CGACGACCGGCGCACGGGUGAGUAUCGCGUUUGUAACCUACCUUUAACUGGAGAAUAGCCCGAAGAAAUUCGGAUUAAUACUCCAUAAUACUAUGAACUGGCAUCUUUUUAUAGUUAAAGCUCCGGCGGUUAAAGAUGGGCAUGCGUAACAUUAGAUUGUUGGUGAGGUAACGGCUCACCAAGUCUACGAUGUUUAGGGGGUCUGAGAGGAUGGUCCCCCACACUGGUACUGAGACACGGACCAG
rnacentral:rRNA from 1 species